CCAAUCCAAUAUCACCCACCAAAUUAACCGGGCCUUGGUGACUAUACCCUUGAUAGACAAGAUGCAGAGCACGAAAUCAUCUGUCUAAAAGAUGGUUUGAUGAUCACAUUCAUUUUGCCUUAUCAAGCAUCACUUUAUGUAAAUACUGAUUUGUCGAAUCUUUCCUUGUGCAAAUUGUCAACCCUUGGAAAGCCUCUGUAAAACUGUAUAAAUACUAUGUACUGAGAUCAAUGUAAAUUAUCAAAAAUUUAACCAAAAACCUGUGUCCUCUUGAUGUUCUUUUCCGCAGUGCUUAAUCUUCCAUGGCAUCAAAGCACUUGACUCAUCGUCCAAUUCUUCUCUGCUCUCAUUGAUGCUACUACCAACGCUCCUCUUCCACCGAUUCUUCCACCUUCCCCAAUGUCUUACCCUCUUUGGCUUGCUCAAAUUGUACCCGGUCUCAAGGGUUGCCGCCUAAAGCAUUUUAUUAAUGGUCUUCAGAAUGGCCUGCCUCCUUUCUCAAGGAUGAUGCUAGCAACCUUACUAUACUAUCAAUCUUGAAUAUGAAGACUGGAUUCAGAAAGAUCAAUUGGUCCUUUCUUGGAUAAUGGGUCACCAUUAAGCUAGAAGCUCUAUAUCUAUCUAUAAUUUAAACAAAUUGUGCAAACAAUUAUCUCCCUCUAGAUCCUCCCAAAACAUUUUUUCUACAAAUUAUCUCAUGUAAAUAUAUAACAAUUUAAGCUAACAAGAUGUUUGCACGUACAUUCAGUGGAUUCAUAUGGUCGAAUUUCAUUCUCGACUUUCUUGAGUACCCUCUUGAGCUUGCAGCAAUACCUAUGUAUCCAAUGUGUGUUUUUCGAUUGCCGGACAAGGUGUGCAAUGAAAUUGAUGCGGUGGUGGCGAGGUUUUGGUGUGCGGGGGCAUACAAAGAUCGGGGGAUACAUUGGAUAAAAUGGACGGACAUGGGUCGCCCUAAGCGGGAUGGAGGAAUAGGGUUCCAAAACUUCAAAGAUUUUAACAUUGCCUUGCUAGCAAAACAAUGUUGGCAGUUGAUUCACGAUCUUGAUUCCUUGUGGGCUCGAGUAUUAAAGGAGCGUUAUUUUCCUAAUGUCUCUUUUCUGGAGGCUAAGAAAGGUGGAAGGACCUCUUGGGCUUGGGCCAGAAGGGAGAGACCUCAUCCUCAUGGGAGCUAGAUAGAAAAUUUUGGGUGGGCACGAAGUUAGAUUCUGGAUGGAUAAUUGGGUCCCGAGCAUUCUUGUGGGACACCCUUCCCCUCCCUUACAUUCAGAUAUCUGCACGGAGUCAAAAUGGCUGAGUUCCUUGAUCCUGUAUCGAGGAAUUGAGAUCUUGCUAAUGUUUUUGACUAUAUUUCGGAGGCGGACCGUGUUGCCAUUUUAAAUAUCCAUGCCGAGCCGUAUACGAUUCCUGAGAAGCUAAUCUGGCAUUUUGAAAGGAAUGGCUCCUAUUCGAUGAAGUCCAAUCACUGUUGGUGCUAUAACAAUCAUCCCCCACUUAGACAUGAUCACCCUACCUCAUCUUGUACCAUUGACCCUCGGGUGUGGGACUGGAUUCAGAGAUGUAAAGUGCCCUCCCCCCCCAAAAGCAGUUUCCUUUGGAGGGGUUUCUGUGAUGCUUGCAUAACCAAGUUCAAUCUCUUUCAACGACGAUGUGCUUCAUCCUCAUAUGCGUUAAACAUGAUGAGACCAUUGAGCAUAUCAUUCUUCUUUGCCCGUGGGCUUCACAAGUGUGGUAUGGGGCCCUUUGUGCCUUCAAAUUAAUCGGAGUUCUAUCACCACUUUGGCAGAUUGUUUUGCUCAGUUGUCAAUUCAGUUCAGGGGAGAAAGUAAGACAUGGACCGUGUUAUUUCACUCUUGGCGUUUACUUGUUGGUUUAUCUGGAGAGCCCGAUGUGAUGCAGUUUUCAAUGCGACCAACCUUUCUCUCUACAGAACUAUUCGGGUUUUCCUCGUCCUUCUUUAUGGUCUCCUCCCCCAGUUAACAAGAUCAAGAUUAACGUCGCUACUUGCUGGAAGAGGGAUUCUCUAUGCGGUUCCAUCGGGGCAGUUGUCAGGGAUUGUUCCUCGGUUUGUCGGGCGGUGCGUUGCAUGAGGAUUCAUGCGGUAAAUGCGACGAUGGCGGAGGCUUUAGUAGUACUAGAAGGAUUCAUACUUGCAAAGAACCUUCAAUUACAUGAAGUGGUGAUUGAGGCAGAUGAGCAAGUUAUUAUUCAAUCUCUUAACUCUUCCUCUUUGAGUUGUGAUUGGGAUCUCCUCCCUAUCCUUAGCCUUGUAAGGAAGGUGAGGAAGACCUUUCAAUCAUGCUUCUGGUCAUGGAUUCCAUAAUCAGCAAAUAAGGCGGCUGACUUUGUCGCAAGGAACUUGCCACCGGAGAUGUGUGGCUUCGGUUGGGUUGUGAGACCUCUAUCUCUUCUCUCAUGGGGAUUUUGAACAAUGAUGGUCUUCCGUGUCCUCCAAUGUAGGGGUUGGGGGUUUUUUUUGCGUGGGUAAACGGGUUGACGCUGGUUUCCUUCUUGGAGGCGUCUUAUGUGUCUUGUUUAUCUUUUUCUUUUGGCCUCUAGGUUAGCCGAUUGGCUUUCAGUGUUCUUUUGGCCUUGUGCACUGGGUUUCUUCUAUGAAUCCAUGUUUCAACCCAAAAAAAAAAAAAAAAAAAAAAAGAA